rnacentral:rRNA from 1 species
GGCGUAGGCGGUCCUUCAAGUCGGAUGUGAAAUCUCCCGGCUCAACCGGGAGGGGCCAUUCGAAACUGCUGGGCUGGAGGGUAGCAGAGGAAAGCGGAAUUCCCGGUGUAGUGGUGAAAUGCGUAGAUAUCGGGAGGAACACCAGUGGCGAAGGCGGCUUUUCUAGGCUAUUUCUGACGCUGAGGCCCGAAAGUGUGGGGGAGCGAACA